rnacentral:rRNA from 1 species
CAGUAGCCGCGGUAACACGGAGGGUGCAAGCGUUAAUCGGAAUUACUGGGCGUAAAGCGCACGCAGGCGGUCUGACAAGUCAGAUGUGAAAUCCCCGGGCUUAACCUGGGAACUGCAUUUGAAACUGUCAGGCUGGAGUCUUGUAGAGGGGGGUGGAAUUCCAGGUGUAGCGGUGAAAUGCGUAGAGAUCUGGAGGAAUACCGGUGGCGAAGGCGGCCCCCUGGACAAAGACUGACGCUCAGGUGCGAAAGCGUGGGGAGCAAACAGGAUUAGAUACCCGAGUAGUCCCUGUCUCUUAUAC